rnacentral:lncRNA from 1 species
GGCGCCGUCACAUCCUGAGGUACCUUACUGGCGAACGCUUUCCGACUCCUCCUGUGUGUCAGUGGUUCUUCAUCCUCGUCGUCGUCAGGGAGAUUGAUAACAGUGUUGGGUGGAGCUGCGGAGAAGGAUCAGGAUCAGAGAUCGCGAGUCAGUCGACUAAGAACGGUGUUAAGAACACAGUACCUGGAUUCGAAGUUGCUGCAUCCUCCAUCUCGUGGUCAUCAGCCCGGGCCAAGGUCUCAGAAGUAGCAGCACUGCAACUCCAAAGGAUCAGUCGACUAACUUCAGCGUCGACCAGAGAUAAAGUUCGCACAGAAUAAGAAAAUAUGAGCAGCACAAUUACCCUGAUAUGGUGGGGAUGGACACCUUCAUCUUCGGCAGGAGCUUGGUCGGCUUUGGCGGAGCCCCCCUAGGCUGCUUCGGCGCCUUUUCAGUUGGCGCUGGAGAAGUGGUCCUAGGGCGCUUGGUCGACUG